UACGAAGGGGGCUAGCGUUGUUCGGAUUUACUGGGCGUAAAGCGCACGUAGGCGGAUCGAUCAGUCAGGGGUGAAAUCCCAGAGCUCAACUCUGGAACUGCCUUUGAUACUGUCGAUCUGGAGUAUGGAAGAGGUGAGUGGAAUUCCGGAGUGUAGAGGUGAAAUUCGUAGAUAUUCGGAGGAACACCAGUGGCGAAGGCGGCUCACUGGUCCAUUACUGACGCUGAGGUGCGAAAGGCGUGGGGAGCAAACAGG
rnacentral:rRNA from 1 species